rnacentral:lncRNA from 1 species
CAGCAAUCACCCAGUCCUCCCAUGCACUCCAACCUCACAGUCACUCAUUCCUCACAGUCUCUCAUUCCUCUCAAUCGCCCGGCACUCGCACUCAGUAGGUACCGGUGCUCAGUGGGGUGUGUACAGACUCCGGAGGGGUUCCUUCAGUUCAAGCGCUAUAACAAAUCAAUCAUGGCAUAAAUCAAGAAAACAUGUUGCGGCGUGCAACCCGAUUCCAUAAAUAUACUCACAAUCAAGUCCUCGGCCUCACUCAAUCAUCAAUCUCUCCCGUCUCUCGGGCUCUCAGUAAUCAUGAUAAUCGGCCCAAACAACAAUGAUAUAAUGUAUCAAUAAUGAAGGCCGAGAUGUAAUAUGCAAGUAAAAAUUGUGACUGAGUACAAAACAACAAUUUAGCAGAUAAUUCAACAUGUACGCGACCUCUGUGGGUCCCUACAGUGCAUAGUCUAAACAUGGUUUCUAACAUAAUUUGCAGUUCAAUUCCUAUAACACAAGGAGAAUAUAUGGAUAACAACAGAUUUUUCAACUAUUCGGUUCCAUGGAAUUGACCAAGUCAUAAUUCCUACGGUGCACGCCCACACGCCCGUCACUUAGCAUGUGCGUCACCUCAAAAUCAAUCACAUGACACAUAAUACGGGGUUUCAUACCCUCAGAACCAAAUUUAGAACUGUUACUUACCUCAAUCCGAGCAAAUCUCUACUCCAACACACCUUUGCCUCGCGAAACGGCCCCCGAAUGCCUCGAAUCUAGCCACAAACAAUGCGAUACAAUCAACACGGGCCAAAGGAAUCAAUUCCGUAAGAAAAUACUAAACUCUUAAUCAAAAAGUCAAAAGUCGACUCAAAAGCCGGGCUCACGUCUCGAAAUCCGAUUAAAGUCACAAAACCCGAAAGCCCAUUCAACCACGAGUCCAACCAUACCAAAUUUACCAAAAUCCGACACCAAAUCGCCACCCAAAUCUCCAAAUCCCUAGCCUCAAACUCUCAAAUUCCACCUUAAUUACACACAAACUAGGUGGAAAAAUCAAUGGGGAGACACAAUUAUUGAAUAAAUUAGACUACAAGUGACUUACCUCAAGAAAUCCCCCGAAAAUCCUCUCAAGAAUCGCCAAAUCCCGAGCUUGAAAUGUUAAAAAUGGUGAAAAUCUCGGAACCCUCGUUUUAAAUAAUCUGCCCAGCAUUCUCGCUUCUGCGGCCAAUUUAGCCGCUUCUGCGGCACUGCUUUUGCGGUCCAUCAUCUGAAUCUGCGGAAGCCACCAAGCCGACCAACCGCUUCUGCGAUCCUCCACGCGCAGGUGCGAGUCCGCACCUGGGGAAUUCCUUCCGCAUCUGCGCUCCACAGUCCCCCGUCCAACCUCCACUUAUGCGCUUCCCAGCUUGCACCUGCGAUCAAUGCUCCACAGGUGCGAUUAUACCAGUAGACUCCUGCUUCAGUAGUGCACUAAGUCCCAUUUUCGAUCCGUUAACCAUCCGAAAUCAACCCGAGUUCCCCGGGACCUCAACCAAUUAUACCAAGUCCUAAAACACGAUA